GUCCAGACUCCUACGGGAGGCAGCAGUGGGGAAUAUUGCACAAUGGGGGAAACCCUGAUGCAGCGACGCCGCGUGAGUGAAGAAGUAUUUCGGUAUGUAAAGCUCUAUCAGCAGGGAAGAAAAUGACGGUACCUGACUAAGAAGCCCCGGCUAACUACGUGCCAGCAGCCGCGGUAAUACGUAGGGGGCAAGCGUUAUCCGGAUUUACUGGGUGUAAAGGGAGCGUAGACGGCAUGGCAAGUCAGAUGUGAAAGCCCGGGGCUCAACCCCGGGACUGCAUUUGAAACCGUCAGGCUGGAGUGCAGGAGAGGUAAGUGGAAUUCCUAGUGUAGCGGUGAAAUGCGUAGAUAUUAGGAGGAACACCAGUGGCGAAGGCGGCUUACUGGACUGUAACUGACGUUGAGGCUCGAAAGCGUGGGGAGCAAACAGGAUUAGAUACCCGCGUAAC
rnacentral:rRNA from 1 species